CAUUAAAACAGUACUUAUAUUGACCGUUUUGCUUAUUAAAUUGCUUAGACCAUUUUUGCAUUGGAAGCGUUUUAGAAACCAUCAUAAGCUAUACUUAAUUUUAUUAUUGUAACUUAUCACUGUUGAUACAUUUCACGUUUGUAUAGUGGAAGUAGAGUGAGAACUACAGAGUUGUAGUGUGAGUGACCUGUUUUGUGGCUAAAUUCUCUCCCAGUAGUUGUUAAGGUUCCCACACCCUUCGGACGUCACCGACAGCCAACAUGACCGCUAAAUGGUUCCUGCUGUUCUUCUUCGCCAUCUGCGCUGCAGAUACAAUUAACAAACGUGAAAUAAACUAUAAGGUAAGACAGUAACUUCUUUGAUCUAACCUGCAUGAAUGUGUUAUACAUCCUAUCCUCAACAAAACAAACGAUUCUCUCUUAUUGAAGAUUUUAUCUACGUAAUUGAAGAGAAUGUUACUCCACCCCGCGGUUUAACUCUCAAGAGACCUGCAGUCACUAAGAAGUGUAACUGGUGACUGAUAACGCCAGCGUACCACCAGCAGACACACAUUGCCAAUCACUGUCUACCUGUAUUUACAGCCUCCCUGUGAAAUACUCACAGGCCUCGUCUAUUGUCCUACACAUGCGGUCCCAGUGUGUGGCACUGAUGGGAAAACCUAUAACAACAUGUGUGAUCUCUGUAACUACAUGGCGCGGACCAAAGAAAACAUCUUGGUUACGAAAAGAGGGAAGUGCUGAAUGACAGAAAUAGCUCACGUCGAGACUCUCGUUUGAAUAACAUGAUCGUCUAACCCUCCUCAUUCUAUCUACUAAUUAAAAACUUCUUUGGCAUUUGA